rnacentral:SRP_RNA from 1 species
GGACAGGCUAUGCUGGGAGGUUAGCCGUCUCCUGUCACAACAAAUCGGCUUUAUGGUUGGGUGAAGCUUGAGGAGCAGUAGAACAUUUGUUUGCUGGUCUUGAGCUCUACGUUGAGAUUCUGUCCUUUGGGAUCGUUUAAUGAGGAAUCUGGUCAGGGUGGGAACACAGCAGCCAUAACUCAUUGGAUUGAUGCUCAGGGGGUAGCGGAAUUGAGGAAAGCUCAAGGUAAGCCGGUUGGCAAAUGUUUUAUUCAUCCUCUUGCAUGCCUGUCU